UUUUUAAUUAAAAACUAGAAUGAAAGGUUAUACAUUCAAAUUUCUUUAUUAUUUUUAAUAUAUAAUUUAUUUUAAAUAUAAAAAUAUAUUUACAUAAAAAAAAGACGACAAGACCCUAUUAAAUUUUACUUAUAGUUUAGCUGGGGAAGCUUUUCAAUUAAAAUUUUUUAAAAAAAAAUAAAAAAAUCUAAAAAAUUUAAAUUUUAAUAAAUUACUAUAGGGAUAACAGCAUUAUAUUUUUUAAAAGUUCAUAUUAAAAAAAAUGAUUGUGACCUCGAUGUUGAAUUAUAUUUCUAUAUUUAAUGCAAUAAUUAUAUAAGUAGAUCUGUUCGAUCUUUAAAAUAUUACAUGAUUUGAGUUCAAACCGGUGUAAACCAGGUUGGUUUCUAUCUUUUUAUUUAUUUUUCUAGUACGAAAGGACAAAAAAAUUUUUAUUUUUAUAAAUUAGCAAAUAAAUGCAUUAGAUUUAGAAUCUAAAUAUAUUUAAUAAUUUUUCUUAUUAAUCCUUUAUUAUCAAUUAUUAUACUUUUAAUUUCAGUAGCAUUUUAUACAAUUUUAGAACGAAAAAUUUUAAGAUAUAUUCAAAUUCGAAAAGGACCAAAUAAAGUAGGAUUUUUAGGAAUUCUACAACCUUUUAGUGAUGCCAUUAAAUUAUUUAAUAAAAAUUUAAUUUCAUCUGAAAGAAUAAAUUUUAUAUUAUCAUAUUCAACACCAGCAAUAUCUUUAAUUUUAAGAAUAAUAAUUGUAUCCAUAUUACCAAUAUACUUUUAUUCAUCAUUUGAUAAUAAAAAUAAUAUUUUAAUAUUUUUCGU
rnacentral:rRNA from 1 species